GAAUUUCCUCCUAAAGUUCAAAACUUUUUGUGGAGAUGAGAGCCAACUCCCUUUCCUCAUCAGCCAAUCUCCACAAAGAGGAAACUGAACCCCAUCCCCACCCCCUUCCCUGGACUCAUUAAAUUCAACACUGAUGUUGCUUGGAAUGCUCUAACAAGCUUGGGAAGUGUGGGCAAGCGAUUGAUGGGCAUAACUUUUGACUUCAUUUGUUCAUCAGCGUCAGUAGGAGAAGCAGUAGUGCUAAGAGAAGCUCUCAGUUGCCACCAAAAUAUGGGCUUGCUAUAGUGGGAGAUAUUAAUAAUUAUUUUGCUUUUGUUUCAUCAACUAUUGUUAAUGUUGUUAGAAGGUCUACCAACUAGGCAGCGGAUUGGCUAGCUCGUAAUAGUCAUAGCUUCUUGUAUCCCAAUUGCUGGAUUGUAAACCCUCCGCUAUUGUUAUUAUAUUUUUCAUUUACUUCACAUAUAUAUAAAUGUAUUUUAACUUAAAUCAUUUAUAUUAUAAUAAUCUAUAAUGAUAUCGU
rnacentral:misc_RNA from 1 species